UAGCUCAGUUGGUAGAGCAUGGUGUUUGCAACGCCAGGGUUGUGGGUUCGAUUCCCAC
rfam:Salmo salar isolate Sally breed double haploid chromosome ssa09, whole genome shotgun sequence.